CCUAACACAUGCAAGUCGAACGGAAACAGGAAACAGCUUGCUGUUUCGCUGACGAGUGGCGGACGGGUGAGUAAUGUCUGGGAAACUGCCUGAUGGAGGGGGAUAACUACUGGAAACGGUAGCUAAUACCGCAUAACGUCGCACGACCAAAGAGGGGGACCUUCGGGCCCCUUGCCAUCGGAUGUGCCCAGAUGGGAUUAGCUUGUUGGUGGGGUAACGGCUCACCAAGGCGACGAUCCCUAGCUGGUCUGAGAGGAUGACCAGCCACACUGGAACUGAGACACGGUCCAGACUCCUACGGGAGGCAGCAGUGGGGAAUAUUGCACAAUGGGCGCAAGCCUGAUGCAGCCAUGCCGCGUGUAUGAAGAAGGCCUUCGGGUUGUAAAGUACUUUCAGCGGGGAGGAAGGGAGUAAAGUUAAUACCUUUGCUCAUUGACGUUACCCGCAGAAGAAGCACCGGCUAACUCCGUGCCAGCAGCCG
rnacentral:rRNA from 1 species